AAAAAGAUAAGCUAAAUUUGAAGCUAAUGGGUUCAUACCCCAUAAAUAGGAACAUUCCUUCUUUUUA
rnacentral:tRNA from 1 species